rnacentral:lncRNA from 1 species
CUGGAACUUAAGACUGGGACCCGAGCUGUUGGGGAAUCGGCCUCGGGGCAGCAGCCGAAGUGAGGAACUGGGUCCCACAGGAAAACGGGACUAAGGACAGCAGGGGUGUGUGGCCAGCCCUGGAAGGGGCGGGGCCAGGGGCAAACAGCCACAAGGGGCUGGGGCUGGAGGCGCUCAAAAGCGGAGAAGGCGGAGUCCCAGGCCCAGCCGGCGGUACCGCUGGGAAGUGAGGGCGCCUUGGACGGCGAGGGCAACUCUUAUCAGUUUGACUGUCUGAAAUGCAGCACGGCGCUAGGCGCUCUCCAGACCUCCCUGUGACUCCAACAGGCUGUGACCUUGGCGUGGGGGUCUGGAAUACGUGUGGGCGCUGGUGCGGGGGAGAGGGAAUGGCGACGCGGAAGAGCAGGACAGACGCGGAGGGUCAGAGAGCAGCUUUAUUAAGCAAGCUGGUGGAGGGCUGUGGGUCCCACCACCCCCGGGCUCGGCGCCAGGGCGGAAGGUCCGGGGGUGCCGUUCAGGCCACGUCGACGCGAGCGAAGCUCUGGUCCAUGCCCAGGCUGUUCUCCACGUACACCUCGUACUUGCCGCUGUCCUGAGGCGUGGCCCGGCGAAUGGUCAGCGUCGUGGUGGUGCUGCCGAUCUCGAAGAACACCCUGCGGAAGGGCGGCGGGGAGGAGGGCGGAGCCGUGGUCAGUACACGGGCGCACUGGGCGGGGCUCCUUAGCCAGCUCUGUUCCUCGCUGCCCAGUCCCCGCCCCCGUCACUCCAGCCAGAUUUCUGGGCUCAGUCCCACCCAGGUUCCAGCCCCAGGCCCUGGCCGUGCCGCAGGUCCCGGCCCUCGCCUGUCAUCCUCCUCGAUGUCCUCCCCGUCCUUGGUCCAGCCUACGUCGGGCGCAGGCUCUCCCAGGAUCUCCGCAGUCAGCGUCACGGUGGUGCCUUUGCGCGCCUUAGUGUUGUCGGGUCCCUUUUGAAUCUUCGUCGGGACUAGCGGAAGGAAAGGGGAGCGAAACCCCGUGAAGGACCCGGAGAUGAGGCAGGGCAUCACCUCACCGGCUAAUACCCGGCACUAAAUACAGAUGCAUUUAAACUCGCAGUGUGACGUUGAGCAAAUCAUUAGCCUCUCUGGUUUCAUCUCCUUGGCUGUUAAAGGGACUUAUCCCUGCCUCUCCUACUUCUCGGGGUCGAAUAGAGGAUCAAGAGAGAUAAGGCGGGCGAAAGCCCCUGAAUGUUCACACAUCUCGCGGUGCCUCAGAGACCGCUCCGGGUAGUGGAAAUUGCCAGAGUUGGGAGCCAGAAGACCCGGGUCCAACCCUGGCUCUGCCUCUGGCUUGCUGUGUGACCUUGGGGACCCGGAGCCGCGUGAUGGAAGUCCACAGCUGACUGCUCAGCCCGGGUGGAGCUGGAUCCCGAGGUAGGGAAGGACGCACUUGGCUGGCGCGGCGAUGCGCCCCAGGCCGUGCCCAGAGCUGGGCUGGCGGGGACCCUGUAGCUAGGCCCAGAGGUAAACACGCGCAGCUGGACCGGGCUGCGGGCUCUGGCUGAGUGGUGCUGGUCUGCGCCCUGGCGCUGCGCCCGGGGCGCGCGUACCUUCCACGAGGAUGCGCGCCGAGUCGGAGCACUGGCCGAAGGGGUUGGUGACGUUGAUGCUGUAC